GACGAACGCUGGCGGCGUGCUUAACACAUGCAAGUCGAACGAUGAAGCCGGAGCUUGCUCCGGUGGAUUAGUGGCGAACGGGUGAGUAACACGUGAGCAAUCUGCCCUUGACUCUGGGAUAACUGCGGGAAACUGUAGCUAAUACCGGAUACGACACCUUGGGGCAUCCCAGGGGGUGGAAAGAAUAGCGGUCAAGGAUGAGCUCGCGGCCUAUCAGCUAGUUGGUGAGGUAAUGGCUCACCAAGGCGACGACGGGUAGCCGGCCUGAGAAGGUGACCGGCCAAACUGGAACUGAGACACGGUCCAGACUCCUACGGGGGGCAGCAGUGGGGAAUAUUGCACAAUGGGCGAAAGCCUGAUGCAGCAACGCCGCGUGAGGGAUGAAGGCCUUCGGGUUGUAAACCUCUUUUAGCAGGGAAGAAGCGAAAGUGACGGUACCUGCAGAAAAAGCACCGGCUAACUACGUGCCAGCCGCCGCAGUAA
rnacentral:rRNA from 1 species